UACAGAGGUGGCAAGCGUUGUUCGGAAUUACUGGGCGUAAAGGGCGAGUAGGCGGCCUUCUAAGUCAGACGUGAAAUCCCCCGGCUUAACCUGGGAAUGGCAUUUGGGACUGCAAGGCUUGAGUGCGGCAGAGGAGACUGGAAUUCCUGGUGUAGCAGUGAAAUGCGUAGAUAUCAGGAGGAAUACCGAUUGCGAAGGCAGCUCACUGGGACGGUAUUGACGCUGAGACGCGAAAGCGUGGGGAGCAAACAGG
rnacentral:rRNA from 1 species